GAUCCUGGCUCAGGAUGAACGCUAGCUACAGGCUUAACACAUGCAAGUCGAGGGGCAGCAUGAACUUAGCUUGCUAAGUUUGAUGGCGACCGGCGCACGGGUGAGUAACACGUAUCCAACCUGCCGAUGACUCGGGGAUAGCCUUUCGAAAGAAAGAUUAAUACCCGAUGGCAUAGUUCUUCCGGCACGGUAGAACUAUUAAAGAAUUUCGGUCAUCGAUGGGGAUGCGUUCCAUUAGGUUGUUGGG
rnacentral:rRNA from 1 species